CCUGCCACCAUCAUUACGCACUCCUGCCACCAUCAUUACGCACUCCUGCCACCAUCAUUACGCACUCCUGCCACCAUCAUUACGCACAACUGCCUUUCCCCGUCAUGUGCAUAAGCGUAUUAUCGGACUCACCUGGACUCAAUCACAUGUUUAUUACCUCCCCUAUAUUUGUCAGUUACCCAUCUCUGUUCCCCGCUGCUGCAUUGAUUGUCGAAUGUCGUUGUUUUGCCCGUGUGCUGACGCUGUGCCUGUCUUGUUUCAUGUCUGCUCUUCAAGAAAUGUUGACUCCCCUAACUGCUUCCACCGGCGUCGGUACUUACAGACACCGGCGUCGGUACUUACAGAAUACAGCAGCCACCAAUCGGGGGGUGCUGGCUUUCCGGUUGGUGGUGAAGUCGGGUCGGGGGGCCGCCACCGAUGGAACCGUGGGUGACUAAGCCAGCUUGUCGGGCUGUCAUGCCCUAGCUGGCUCGAGAGGUUUCUUGCUCCGGUUGGCGUGGCAAGGCGCCCAUCCCACGUCAGGCCUCAGCCAGUUCGUCAGGCUGCUACGCAUCCGCUGGAUCAUCAGACUCCCACGCCUCAGCCAGUUCGUCAGGCUGCUACGCAUCCGCUGGAUCAUCAGACUCCCACGCCUCUGCCGGCUUGUCCAGUGCCCAUGCCUCGGCCGGCCCAUCUCGCUCGCCCAGGUGGGACGUCCGGUGGCGCCCCUAGAGGGUGGGGUACUGUCACGCCUGGUCAUGCUCUUUCCCCCUGGCGCUCGAGGGCGCCAGGCUCCGCAGCAUUACGCACUCCUUCCACCAUCAUUACGCACACCUGCCUUUGCCCAUCAUGCGCAUCAGCAUAUUAUCGGCCUCACCUGGACUCAAUCACCUGUUUAUUACCUCCCCUAUAUUUGUUAAGUACCCAUCUCUGUUCCCCGCUGCUGCAUUAAUUGUCAAAUGUCAUUGAUUUGCUCAUUUGCUGACGCUGUGCCUGUCUUGUUUCAUGUCUGUUCUUCAUUAAAUGUUGACUCACUGAACCUGCUUCUCGUCUCCGGCGUCGGUCCUUACAUAAAACCACUCGAUUUAUUUAAAAUAAUAAUUUUAUAUGUGAUAUGAUAUAAACCAGAAUGUGAAAACAAC
rnacentral:lncRNA from 1 species